GGGGCGGUAGCUUAGUGGUAGAGCGCAAGAUUGCAAUAUACGGCCAUUCAAUGGUCGUUUGAAAAACAUUGCGACUAUCUUGAGGUCGCCGGUUCGAUCCCGGCCCGUCCCU
rfam:Aspergillus parasiticus ST-1 426, whole genome shotgun sequence.